rnacentral:tRNA from 1 species
CCCUCGUAGCUCAGGGGAUAGAGCACUGCCCUCCGGAGGCAGGUGUCGCAGGUUCGAAUCCUGCCGGGGGCACUCCA